rnacentral:rRNA from 1 species
UACGUAGGGUGCAAGCGUUGUCCGGAAUUAUUGGGCGUAAAGAGCUCGUAGGCGGUCUGUCGCGUCUGCUGUGAAAACUCAGGGCUUAACCCUGAGCUUGCAGUGGGUACGGGCAGACUAGAGUGCGGUAGGGGAGACUGGAAUUCCUGGUGUAGCGGUGAAAUGCGCAGAUAUCAGGAGGAACACCAGUGGCGAAGGCGGUCUCCUGGAGCAGACUUGACGCUGAGGCGCGAAAGCUGGGGGAGCGAACGGG